rnacentral:misc_RNA from 1 species
GAUGAAGACGCAGCGAAAUGCGAUAAGUAAUGUGAAUUGCAGAAUUCAGUGAAUCAUCGAAUCUUUGAACGCACAUUGCGCCCCUUGGUAUUCCGAGGGGCAUGCCUGUUCGAGCGUCAUUAUAACCCCUCAAGCUCAGCUUGGUGUUGGGGCCUGCUGCACUGGCAGCCCUUAAAAUCAGUGGCGGCGCCAUCUGGCUCUAAGCGUAGUAAUUCUUCUCGCUAUGGAGUCCUGGUGGAUGCUUGCCAUCAACCCCCAAUUUUUCUAUGGUUGACCUCGGAUCAGGUAGGGAUACCCGCUGAACUUAAGCAUAUCAAUAAGCGGAGGA